CUCCUUUAUUUACCCGCACGUAGUUUAAUUUUAGCCACAGUUCAUUUUAUUUUGUCCUCUUAAGUUACUUUACUCUCUCAUUUUAUCAUAUUGAUUUACUUACUUCCCGUUGAAACGCUUUGAGACUUGGACUGUAACUGAAGUAUAAGUAUAUAUUUACAUAGUUCAAGGCAGUGAAUUUGUAGUGUAGAAGCAAGCCAGUGAGGAAGGGGGUGGGGGUCUUCGUGCCAGCUUACGGAUGGGUGUGUGUACCUAUUUUGAAGAAGUUGUUGACCUAAAUUG
rnacentral:lncRNA from 1 species